UGACAACUUACUAAGGGCUUUAUCCAGGUGAAAGCAAAGUUCCAGCCUCCAGAUAUCAACACACCAUGUUCCAGUAUUUCAAUUCUUGGCCCAGGUAAACAAACUCACCUUGCCUGUGUUAAAGCAACAGCUGAAGGUGGAAGAGGAGAAGAUAAUAAUAAAGCUCCAAUCAGAUCAAAGCUAUAUGUGUCAAGAGAGCCCAAUGUUUGCUCUGGUGUACAGUGUACCUCUGUCUCCUGCUUCCACGCUACGGUUAAAUGUUGAAAAGCGAUGGUAUCAUUUCUUCAGCUGCAAUAAACCAACAGUCAGAACAAAAAAAAUCCAACUCCAGGCCACUGG